ACGCUCGACACCUACGGAGGCAGCAGUGGGGAAUAUUGCACAAUGGGGGAAACCCUGAUGCAGCGACGCCGCGUGAGUGAAGAAGUAAUUCGUUAUGUAAAGCUCUAUCAGCAGGGAAGAAAGUGACGGUACCUGAGUAAGAAGCCCCGGCUAACUACGUGCCAGCAGCCGCGGUAAUCUGAGCGGCUGGCAAGGC
rnacentral:rRNA from 1 species